rnacentral:tRNA from 1 species
ACCUGAGUGGCUCAGUGGUUGAGCAUCUGCCUUUGGCUCAGGUCAUGAUCACAAGGUCUUGGGAUCGAGUCCCACGUCAGGCU